GGUGAUGAUGAGAGUCAGUCUGCGAGUCCCGAGUCUCCACCGCCUCAUAGGAGAUCAAUCCAGGAGAGUUUGUCCCUGCCGGUCGCCAUAUCUUCCCCUGCUAACCACCAGAAGGAUGAAGGUUCUAUUACAAGCAGCAGCCAGUCAGUGCAGAGGGAUCUUCAAGGCCCUGCCCUCUCCUCUCCUAAAGACUCCUCCCCCUCCAGCUUCCUGCGGAAUGUAAAGAAGAGAGAGUCCAAAGGCAAGGGCAAAGAGGUCAAAGAUGAGUCUAAUGAUGCAGCUGGAAAAACUAAAAGAAGAUUCCCAGACUUUGGUGGUUUAAGGAAAUCAGGAGGAAAGGGGAAAAAACUAAGCAAAGAAGCUACGAGGGCGUCACUGGACAGCAGG